rnacentral:lncRNA from 1 species
GUGGUCGCAGGCAAGCUGAGCCCCGACGGCGUGGCGACGCCGGCCGGGCUGAUCUCGGCGGCGAUAGCGCACGCGUUCGCGCUGUUCGUGGCGGUGUCGGUGGGCGCCAACAUCUCGGGCGGGCACGUGAACCCGGCGGUGACCUUCGGCGCCUUCGUGGGCGGCAACAUCACCCUCUUCCGCGGCCUGCUCUACUGGGUGGCGCAGCUGCUGGGCUCCACCGCCGCCUGCUUCCUCCUCCGCUUCUCCACCGGCGGGCUCCCCACCGGCACCUUCGGGCUCACCGGCAUCGGCGCGUGGGAGGCGGUGGUCCUGGAGAUCGUCAUGACCUUCGGGCUGGUGUACACGGUGUACGCCACCGCCGUCGACCCCAAGAAGGGCAGCCUGGGCACCAUCGCGCCCAUCGCCAUCGGCUUCAUCGUCGGCGCCAACAUCCUCGUCGGCGGCGCCUUCUCCGGCGCGUCCAUGAACCCCGCCGUCUCCUUCGGCCCCGCCCUCGUCAGCUGGGAGUGGGGGUACCAGUGGGUGUACUGGGUCGGCCCCCUCAUCGGCGGCGGCCUCGCCGGCGUCAUCUACGAGCUGCUCUUCAUCUCCCGCACCCACGAGCAGCUCCCCACCACCGACUACUAAGCUCACCGCCGCCUGCCCCCCGCCCGCCCGUCCGUCCGUGUGGUCGAUCGCGU